UAGGGAAUCUUCCACAAUGGACGCAAGUCUGAUGGAGCAACGCCGCGUGAGUGAAGAAGGCUUUCGGGUCGUAAAACUCUGUUAUUGAAGAAGAACGUGUGUGACAGUAACUGGUCAUGCAGUGACGGUAUUCAAUCAGAAAGUCACGGCUAACUACGUGCCAGCAGCGCGGUAAUGCGUAGGUGGCAAGCGUUGUCCGGAUUUA
rnacentral:rRNA from 1 species